UACAGAGGAGCCAAGCGUUGUCCGGAUUGACUGGGCGUAAAGCGCACGCAGGCGGAUGCGCGCGUGGGGUGUGAAAUCUGGCCGCUUAACGGCCAGGCGCCAUCCCAUACGGCGCGUCUGGAGUGAUGCAGAGGUCGGUGGAAUUGCCGGUGUAGUGGUGAAAUGCGUAGAGGUCCGGAGGAACACCGAAGGCGAAGGCAGUGUCCUGGCGAGUGACUGACGCUGAGGUGCGAAAGCCAGGGGAGCGAACGGG
rnacentral:rRNA from 1 species